rnacentral:rRNA from 1 species
UCAGUCAGGAAGUGAAAUCGCAGGGCUCAGCCCUGGAACUGCUUUUGAUAGUGUCGAUCUUGAGUAUGGAAGAGGUGAGUUGAAUUCUGAGUGUAGAGAUGAAUUGAUAGAUAUGGGGACGCCCACCAGUGGGGAGGGCGUCUCACUGGUACAUUACUGACGCUGAGGUGAGAAAGCGAGCAGAGCAAACAGAUUACAUACCGUGGUACUCCACGCAAUAAGCGAUGAAUGUUAGCCGUGCGGGCAGUAUACUGUUCGGUAAGCAGCUAACGCAUUAAACAUUCCGCCUGGGGAGUACGGUCACAAGAAAAAAAAAAAAGAAUUGAGGGGGGCCCCCACAAGCGGUGGAGCAUGUUUUAUAAUUUGAAACAACGAGCAGAACUUUACCAGCCCUUGACAUGCCAGGCUACAGCAGAAAUGCAGGCCCUUUUGAAGGACCGGGACACAGGUGCAGCAUGGCUUCAUCAGCUGUCGUGGUGAGAUGGGGUAAGAAGUCCCGCAAGGGCAACCACCCUCGCUAGUACCAGCAGCUAAUGGUUGGGCAUUUUAAGGGGACUGCCGGUGCUAAGCCGAGGAAAAGGGGGGGGGGAUCUAAAGUCCUCAGCCCCUUUAGGGGGUGGGAUACACAUGUGUUACAAUUGUGGUGACAGGGGGCAAAGAGCACGGGAGUAUGAGAUUAUCUCCAAAAGCCAUCUCAGUUCGGAUUGCACUCUGCAACUCGAGUGCAUGAAGUUGGAAUCGCUAGUAAUCGCGGAUCAGCAUGCCGCGGUGAAUACGUUCCCGGGCCUUGUACACACCGCCCGUCACACCAUGGGGAGUUUUUUGCACCAGAAGCAGGUAGCUAAACGCAAGGAGGCAGCUAACCACGGUAGGGUCAGAGACUGGGGGAAGUCGAUCAAGAGCUAGCCCC